rnacentral:rRNA from 1 species
UAAUACGUAGGGACCAAGCGUUGUUCGGAUUUACUGGGCGUAAAGGGCGCGUAGGCGGCUUGUCAAGUCACUUGUGAAAUCUCUGGGCUUAACCCAGAACGGCCAAGUGAAACUGACAUGCUAGAGUGCAGAAGGGGCAAUCGGAAUUCUUGGUGUAGCGGUGAAAUGCGUAGAUAUCAAGAGGAACACCUGAGGUGAAGACGGGUUGCUGGGCUGACACUGACGCUGAUGCGCGAAAGCCAGGGGAGCAAACGGGAUUAGAUACCCCGGUAGUCCUGGCCCUAAACGAUGAAUACUUGGUGUCUGGAGUUAUUAGUGCUCUGGGUGCCGUCGCUAACGUUUUUAGUAUUCCGCCUGGGGAGUACGCUCGCAAGAGUG